UCGUCAACGGGCACUUUG
rnacentral:miRNA from 1 species